GCCGAUGUAGCUCAGUGGUAGAGCAGCUGUUUCGUAAACAGCAGGUCGCGGGUUCGAUUCCCUUCAUCGGCUCCA
rnacentral:tRNA from 1 species